GCCCGCCUAGCUCAAUCGGCCAGAGCGUCAGACUUUUAAGGCGGGUGUAAAUUCGUGAAAUUAAUGAAAUUAAUCUGAAGGCUGCGAGUUCGACCCUCGCGGUGGGCU